rnacentral:antisense_RNA from 18 species
GUUUUUGGCGGCUCGAAUGGGAGAGCGCAAGCUCUGCCGGUUUCCGCAAGGAUGUCCCGGUUCGUCAACCCGUUCGAGCUGCCGCCC